ACGCUCGACACCUACGGGAGGCGGCAGUGGGGAAUAUUGCACAAUGGGGGAAACCCUGAUGCAGCGACGCCGCGUGAAGGAUGAAGUAUUUCGGUAUGUAAACUUCUAUCAGCAGGGAAGAAAGUGACGGUACCUGACUAAGAAGCCCCGGCUAACUACGCGCCAGCAGCCGCGGUAAUCUGAGCGGGCUGGCAAGGC
rnacentral:rRNA from 1 species